CUCUUUCCCCACAACAGUAAAAUGGGUCCAUUACAUUGAUGUUAUAAUGUUAACAUGUGAACAUUCACCUCCGCUGCAGGACCCUCUGCAGAUUUGUUGGAACAUCUGCAAGGGAAAAGAUGAAUUCACAAAACAUUCAAGGUGCAGAUAAUGCCAUAAAGUUUUGAGGAAUUAUUUGGUCAGGAAAUGUUGUUCCAGAAGCUUUGAUUACUAACAUACAAGCCUACCCAACCCCUAAGAAGAUAAAAGAAACGCAAGCCUUUGUAGGGAUUUGGGAGUUUUGGAGGACUUCUAUUCCCUACCUGACACAGUGCUUCUAUCCCUUUAAAAAAAGGGGGGUGGGAGGGGGAGAAGCCAAGAUGGAGGAACAGCAUGGAAGGUUUUUUUGCAUCUCUCCUCCUCGAAAUACAACCAGAUUAACACUAAACAAUCCUGCACACCUAGAAAACUGAUUUGAGGAUUAACGCAACAAUUUGCACAAUCUGAACCACAGAACUAAGCAGUGCGGCCAGAUAGUCACCAAACAAGCCACCUCUAUGCCAGUAAAACCUUGCUGACUGCUCAGGGAACAUUGCAAAAGAGCAGUACAUAUAGAAUUAUAAGAGCCAGUCAUAAGAGGGGAAACACUGGAGAAGGUCAUCGAGAGGAUAGGGAUGCCAUUUGACCCAUGAGCUGGACCCAGGCAAUUGAGGCUCUUCCCUGCCCUCCCUGUCGGUGAAAUAUGCAUUCUGCCUGCCUUCCUGCCCUAAAAGCUGCCUCAAGGACACAGACUUGAGAUAGUAAUGUGCUGUUGAGACCAUCUGGGUAUAAUGACUGGAUGUGCCAUCUGGUAGACAUGACUGAACCCAGUUAGGGCAUCUAUAUAAACUUUUAAGGUUCUGACAGGUGGGUGUAAAGAUCUGCUCACUUUGCAGCUGACUAAGCCAACCGUCAUAAAAGCAAGUUCCCUUGCUUAUUAAAACUGCCACCUACCAAUCUGGAGGGGUCUGUCUCUUUUUCAGGCUGCCCUUGCCCACCCCUCCUCCCCCCCCCCCACACACACACAGGGACCAAUUUCAGAUUUCACCCAGGAAACUGUAACCCAAGGUUACAAAUCAACAAGUUGCAAGAAGAGGUUGUUGCCAGGAGAAGCCACGGGCCACUGGGCGCUGCAGGUGGUCAUGCACUGCAGGAGGUGGACACGGCGGGGGGGGGGGGGGGGGGUAGCUGUGUGCAGUGAAGGAAUCUGGGUGCAGGAAGUGCUGCUCAGGCUGCAGAAGCCAGACCUAAAACCCACGCAAGCACCAGUGCAACAACAGGUUGCCAAGGGAGACUUGAGAGCUUGCCAAGCAAGCGCUAGAGAACCAGAAGCAAAACCCCUUUCCUCCUACAGUGUCUCUCUGGCACCCUCUGCUGACAAAGUUUAGCAUUGUGCCAGCUGGCAAAGGAAACAUUUAAAGGACCCAGAUCCAUUUCACAGUCUAGGCAGUGAAGGGAAACCUUGGUGCUGAGACCAGCUCAGCUGGUCUUCAGGGAGAGAAUAAAGCUAAACAAAAAGCCAUUACAAAUCUGUAAGGAAAAGACCUACAAUUCUAGAAAGGAAAAAAAAAAAAAUACAGAGGCACACAGAGAAAAGCAGAAAGCAAAAGGCGAGAGACAGACAAGAGGUCUGAUGACCUUGGCUGUUCUUCCCGUGGCCCUGUUACAUCCCUGUCCUUUGAUGGUAGGAGACUGCUCUGUCUCUUUCUAAUGAACGCCUCCUUUUUUGUCAGGUUACACUUGCUUGGGCUGGCUUCCAGCCCUGCGACAAAGUCCUCCUAGUCAAUAAGAAGUCACUGAAUUAAAAUCUCAGUUACUAAUUUUAUCAUUUCCAAGACCUUGGAAGAGGUUACAGUUGUUUGUACCUGUUGUAAUUUUGUCCCAUCGGGUUUGGGGAAGCACUCUUCCUUGGCCAAAAAUUUCUGUUUAAUUA